rnacentral:rRNA from 2 species
GGGUUGUGAGGUUAAGCGACUAAGCGUACACGGUGGAUGCCCUGGCAGUCAGAGGCGAUGAAGGACGUGCUAAUCUGCGAAAAGCGUCGGUAAGGUGAUAUGAACCGUUAUAGCCGGCGAUGUCCGAAUGGGGAAACCCAGUGCAAUUCGUUGCACUAUCGUUAACUGAAUACAUAGGUUAACGAGGCGAACCGGGGGAACUGAAACAUCUAAGUACCCCGAGGAAAAGAAAUCAACCGAGAUUCCCCCAGUAGCGGCGAGCGAACGGGGAGCAGCCCAGAGUCUGAAUCAGCUUGUGUGUUAGUGGAACGGUCUGGAAAGUCCGACGGUACAGGGUGAUAGUCCCGUACACCAAAAUGCACAGGCUGUGAACUCGAAGAGUAGGGCGGGACACGUGGUAUCCUGUCUGAAUAUGGGGGGACCAUCCUCCAAGGCUAAAUACUCCUGACUGACCGAUAGUGAACCAGUACCGUGAGGGAAAGGCGAAAAGAACCCCGGCGAGGGGAGUGAAAAAGAACCUGAAACCGUGUACGUACAAGCAGUGGGAGCACCUUCGGGUGUGACUGCGUACCUUUUGUAUAAUGGGUCAGCGACUUAUAUUCUGUAGCAAGGUUAACCGUAUAGGGGAGCCGCAGGGAAACCGAGUCUUAACUGGGCGUUAAGUUGCAGGGUAUAGACCCGAAACCCGGUGAUCUAGCCAUGGGCAGGUUGAAGGUUGGGUAACACUAACUGGAGGACCGAACCGACUAAUGUUGAAAAAUUAGCGGAUGACUUGUGGCUGGGGGUGAAAGGCCAAUCAAACCGGGAGAUAGCUGGUUCUCCCCGAAAGCUAUUUAGGUAGCGCCUCGUGAACUCAUCUUCGGGGGUAGAGCACUGUUUCGGCUAGGGGGUCAUCCCGACUUACCAACCCGAUGCAAACUACGAAUACCGAAGAAUGUUAUCACGGGAGACACACGGCGGGUGCUAACGUCCGUCGUGAAGAGGGAAACAACCCAGACCGCCAGCUAAGGUCCCAAAGUCAUGGUUAAGUGGGAAACGAUGUGGGAAGGCACAGACAGCCAGGAUGUUGGCUUAGAAGCAGCCAUCAUUUAAAGAAAGCGUAAUAGCUCACUGGUCGAGUCGGCCUGCGCGGAAGAUGUAACGGGGCUAAACCAUGCACCGAAGCUGCGGCAGCGACACUAUGUGUUGUUGGGUAGGGGAGCGUUCUGUAAGCCUGCGAAGGUGUGCUGUGAGGCAUGCUGGAGGUAUCAGAAGUGCGAAUGCUGACAUAAGUAACGAUAAAGCGGGUGAAAAGCCCGCUCGCCGGAAGACCAAGGGUUCCUGUCCAACGUUAAUCGGGGCAGGGUGAGUCGACCCCUAAGGCGAGGCCGAAAGGCGUAGUCGAUGGGAAACAGGUUAAUAUUCCUGUACUUGGUGUUACUGCGAAGGGGGGACGGAGAAGGCUAUGUUAGCCGGGCGACGGUUGUCCCGGUUUAAGCAUGUAGGCUGGUUGUCCAGGCAAAUCCGGAUAAUCAAGGCUGAGGUGUGAUGACGAGGCACUACGGUGCUGAAGUAACAAAUGCCCUGCUUCCAGGAAAAGCCUCUAAGCAUCAGGUAACAUCAAAUCGUACCCCAAACCGACACAGGUGGUCAGGUAGAGAAUACCAAGGCGCUUGAGAGAACUCGGGUGAAGGAACUAGGCAAAAUGGUGCCGUAACUUCGGGAGAAGGCACGCUGGUGUGUAGGUGAAGUCCCUGCGGAUGGAGCUGAGACCAGUCGAAGAUACCAGCUGGCUGCAACUGUUUAUUAAAAACACAGCACUGUGCAAACACGAAAGUGGACGUAUACGGUGUGACGCCUGCCCGGUGCCGGAAGGUUAAUUGAUGGGGUUAUCCGUAAGGAGAAGCUCUUGAUCGAAGCCCCGGUAAACGGCGGCCGUAACUAUAACGGUCCUAAGGUAGCGAAAUUCCUUGUCGGGUAAGUUCCGACCUGCACGAAUGGCGUAAUGAUGGCCAGGCUGUCUCCACCCGAGACUCAGUGAAAUUGAACUCGCUGUGAAGAUGCAGUGUACCCGCGGCAAGACGGAAAGACCCCGUGAACCUUUACUAUAGCUUGACACUGAACAUUGAGCCUUGAUGUGUAGGAUAGGUGGGAGGCUUUGAAGCGUGGACGCCAGUCUGCGUGGAGCCAACCUUGAAAUACCACCCUUUAAUGUUUGAUGUUCUAACGUUGGCCCCUUACCGGGGUUGCGGACAGUGUCUGGUGGGUAGUUUGACUGGGGCGGUCUCCUCCCAAAGCGUAACGGAGGAGCACGAAGGUUAGCUAAUCCUGGUCGGACAUCAGGAGGUUAGUGCAAUGGCAUAAGCUAGCUUGACUGCGAGCGUGACGGCGCGAGCAGGUGCGAAAGCAGGUCAUAGUGAUCCGGUGGUUCUGAAUGGAAGGGCCAUCGCUCAACGGAUAAAAGGUACUCCGGGGAUAACAGGCUGAUACCGCCCAAGAGUUCAUAUCGACGGCGGUGUUUGGCACCUCGAUGUCGGCUCAUCACAUCCUGGGGCUGAAGUAGGUCCCAAGGGUAUGGCUGUUCGCCAUUUAAAGUGGUACGCGAGCUGGGUUUAGAACGUCGUGAGACAGUUCGGUCCCUAUCUGCCGUGGGCGCUGGAGAAUUGAGGGGGGCUGCUCCUAGUACGAGAGGACCGGAGUGGACGCAUCACUGGUGUUCGGGUUGUCAUGCCAAUGGCACUGCCCGGUAGCUAAAUGCGGAAGAGAUAAGUGCUGAAAGCAUCUAAGCACGAAACUUGCCCCGAGAUGAGUUCUCCCUGAGACUUUAAGUCUCCUGAAGGAACGUUGAAGACGACGACGUUGAUAGGCCGGGUGUGUAAGCGCAGCGAUGCGUUGAGCUAACCGGUACUAAUGAACCGUGAGGCUUAACCUUACAACGCCGAAG